rnacentral:lncRNA from 1 species
UUGUGAUGUAACCCUGUUCCAUGUUUGUGUGUGAUACUACUUAGUUUCUUUUGUAUGUUGAAUCCAGAACUUAGUCAGUUAGUGUUGCCUAGGUUGUAGGAUAGUCAGCUAGGAAAGGAUUAUAGGCUGUUAUUGAAAUAAGCCUACUUUUAGCCUAAAUAACCUUGUAUGUGUGAAUGAGUAUCCUUUGAUCUUUAUUUUUAUGAGCCUGUAUAGCUUGUUUUUCUUGUUACACCUUUCAC